rnacentral:lncRNA from 1 species
CCGGGACCAUGUCAGCAUCUUUUAGCACAUGGCACAGGACUCAUGGUAGCAGGUGUUUAAUAUAAGCCUGGUAAACCCUAGGAUAUUUUUUUCUGAUGUCGGGUGUGGGCAAUGCUGGUGUGACUGAAGUACCAUCUUGCUUUACUACAACAGUUCUUGGAUCCCGAUGAGAAAAUUCCUCUGGCACAUCGUGAGUCAUGUGACUGAAACAAAUCAGACCACCUGUGAAACUGCUGUAGUGAGUCACUGUGACAUUUACAAGACUGUACCAUCAGAGCACUUACCACCUGGAGAUUUAAAGGAAUAGAUCUGAAGGAGGAGUACUUUCUUAUCAAAAGAGUUGAUACCAUGAGGAAGAAGAUAACAGAGAAAAUGAAAAGUUACCCCGUCCUAUCCAUGAGACAGAUGGUAAAAAAAUUCUAUAAAAUGAAAAUUACAAGAAAUCUGUGAGACUUUCUUAUAUAGUAUAUGUUAGCACAUGUCUUGAAACAGUAAAAUAAUGACCAAGAUAACUAGACUUUUUCAUGGUAAGUACAAUUUGAUAUUCAUUACUAUAAAGCAGAACUGUGUUUAAGUGAUAAAUGGCC